GACGAACGCUGGCGGCGUGCUUAACACAUGCAAGUCGAACGGUGAAGCUCAAGCUUGCUUGGGGUGGAUCAGUGGCGAACGGGUGAGUAACACGUGAGCAACCUGCCCCAGACUCCGGAAUAAGCGCUGGAAGCGGCGUCUAAUACUGGAUAUGAGAUCAGUCCGCAUGGGCAUGGUCUGGAAAGUUUUUCGGUCUGGGAUGGGCUCGCGGCCUAUCAGCUUGUUGGUGAGGUAAUGGCUCACCAAGGCGACGACGGGUAGCCGGCCUGAGAGGGCAACCGGCCACACUGGGACUGAGACACGGCCCAGACUCCUACGGGAGGCAGCAGUGGGGAAUAUUGCACAAUGGGCGAAAGCCUGAUGCAGCGACGCCGCGUGAGGGAUGACGGCCUUCGGGUUGUAAACCCCUUUCAGCAGGGAAGAAGCGCAAGUGACGGUACCUGCAGAAGAAGCACCGGCUAACUACGUGCCAGCAGCCGCCGUAACAC
rnacentral:rRNA from 1 species